UGGAUCAAUGAUGAUGACUGGUGGCAUAUGAGUCAUGAACAAUGAAUACAUGUGAAGCUCUGAGGUCCAA